rnacentral:rRNA from 1 species
AUUGAACGCUGGCGGCAGGCCUAACACAUGCAAGUCGAGCGAGCGGCGGACGGGUGAGUAAUGUAUGGGGACUGCCCGAUAGAGGGGGAUAACUACUGGAAACGGUAGCUAAUACCGCAUACUAUCGGAUAACCCAUAUGGGAUUAGCUAGUAGGUGAGGUAAUGGCUAACCUAGGAGACGAUCCCUAGCUGGUCUGAGAGGAUGAUCAGCCACACUGUGACUCAGACACGGCCCAGACUCCUACGGAGGCAGCGGUGGGGAAUAUUUCACAAUGGGCGCAAUCCGGAUGCAGCCAUGCCGCGGGUGUGAAGAAGGCCCUAGGGUUUGAAAGUACUUUCAGUCGGGAGGCGUUACCGACAGAAGAAGCACCUGCUAACUCCGUGCCAGCAGCCGCGGUAAUUC